rnacentral:rRNA from 1 species
UUAAAAAGAUAAUUGUUAAUCAAUUUAAUUUGAUGAUUUAAAAUUUAUUAGUUUUAGUAUAUUAAUUUUUUUUUAAAAGAAAUAUUUUUUAUUUAAGUAUUUUUUAGAAAUAAUUUAUUUUAUGAUAGUGUAUAGUAUUGUGAAAGAAAAUUUGAAAGUUUUUUUAAGAAGAAUUUUUUUUGUACCUUGUGCAUCAGGGUUAAUUAAAAUUGAUUAAAAAUUUAAUAGUCUCGAAUUUAAAAGAGUUAAAAAUUUAUAAUUUUUAUUGUAAAAUAAAUAUAUUUAAUAAAUUUUUAGUAAUGAAAUGUUAUUCGUUUUUAAAUAUAUCUAGUUUUUUAAGAAAAAAAUUUAAUUUUAUUUUUAUUAAUAUUAUUUUAAUUUAAUAAUUUUGUAUUAAUAAAAAGUAAUAUUUUUAGGGAAAAGCUUAAAAAUAAAAUAUUAUUAAAAAAUAAUAAUUAAAAAAUUUUAGGAUUAGAAAUUUUCAUAAUUUUUUGUUUGUUAUAAUUUAUUUUUAUAAUUUAAUAUUUAUAUUUUUUAUAAAUUUUUUAUUAAAAUUUAAUUUUUAAUUUUAAAAAUUUAAAAAUAAUGAUAAAAUUAGUACAAAUUUUUAUAUUAUUUCUUAUUAAUUUAAGGUAAAUUUUAGGAACUCGGCAAAGUAAUUUUUCACCUGUUUAUUAAAAACAUGUCCUUUUGUUAAGAAUUUAAGGUCUCGCCUGCCCAAUGAGUUUUAAAUGGCCGCGGUAUUUUGACCGUGCUAAGGUAGCAUAAUCAUUAGUUUUUUAAUUGAAAGCUGGAAUGAAGGGUUGGAUGAAAAAAUAGCUGUCUUAAAUUUAAUUAUUUUGAAUUUUAUUAUUAAGUUAAAAAGCUUAAAUAUUUUUAAAAGACGAGAAGACCCUAUAGAGUUUUAUAAUAUAAAUUUAUGGAUAUUUAGAAUUUAUUUUUUUUUAUAUUUAUUAUUAUUUAAUUGGGGUGAUUAAAAAAUUUAAUUAACUUUUUUUUUAUUUAAAUAUUUAUAAAUAAAUUGAUGAUCCUAUUUUUUAGAUUAAAAGAUUAAGUUACCUUAGGGAUAACAGCGUAAUUUUAUUUGAGAGUUCAAAUCGAAAAUAGAGAUUGCGACCUCGAUGUUGGAUUAAAGUUAAUUUUUGGUGUAGAAGCUGAGAUAUUAAGUCUGUUCGACUUUUAAAACUUUACAUGAUCUGAGUUUAAACCGGUGUAAGCCAGGUUGGUUUCUAUCUUUAAAUAAUUAAUAUAUUUUAGUACGAAAGGACCAAAUAU